UAGGUUUAAGUUGAUAAUGAUCCAUCCACUACUUUGUAUAGUAUUAUUUAUGGUUUUGACACUCGGUUAGUUUUGUUGUGAUUAACAACUUCACUAUAACACGUGUUUUGCCUAAUUGUAGAUGUUUAUUUUUUUUUCCCUUGGAUUGAUAAUAUAAACAUUAGUUUAGUUAGCUUAGUUAAAUGUUGACUUUCUGCUUUUACAUUGGUUUGAAUUAGUUAGUUAGUAUAAUAAUAUUAGUUUGGAAAGGGUAAAAGGUAAAUGAUGAAGUAGAGUAUAUGUUUCGUUUCUUUUACUGUUUUGGAGUUGUUGGGAGUACAUAUACUCCUUUCUUGUGUCUGAAAUUAGAUAAAAUGACAGUCUUUUCUCACUCAUUUGGGCAGAGUUUUGGUUUAAAUCAAAACCUAAUCCCUGUGGUUUUCCUCUCCUAUGAAAGGAGGGUCUUUCUUCACUUUUUAGUGGGAGGAACAUCAGGAAAAAAAAAACAGCAAAAGGGAAAAUUUCAGCACUUUAUUUUUCUCUUGAAAAUAAUUUAGGAAGAGUCUUUUUGUUUUUGGAAAUCCACUAGGCAGAGCUUAGGGCUAGAUUUUUAUUAAUAACAAAAAAGGAAAUUACAAUAAUUAGGAGAAAUACUAGUAAACAAUAGCGCCGGAGUUGUUACCCAUAUAAAAAACCGGGCUAACCUUACCGUACUAAUCCUAUUGAGGCUUCAAAACCUCAUUACUAGAAAGCAUGUAAGAAAUAA
rnacentral:lncRNA from 1 species